UACGUAGGGGGCGAGCGUUGUCCGGAAUUAUUGGGCGUAAAGAGCGUGUAGGCGGCUCGGUAAGUCCGCCGUGAAAACCCGGGGCUCAACCCCGGGCUUGCGGUGGAUACUGUCGGGCUAGAGGAUGGUAGAGGCGAGUGGAAUUCCCGGUGUAGCGGUGAAAUGCGCAGAUAUCGGGAGGAACACCAGUAGCGAAGGCGGCUCGCUGGGCCAUUCCUGACGCUGAGACGCGAAAGCGUGGGGAGCGAACAGG
rnacentral:rRNA from 1 species